rnacentral:tRNA from 1 species
AGGGUGGUGGCGCAGUUGGCUAGCGCGUAGGUCUCAUAAUCCUGAGGUCGAGAGUUCGAGCCUCUCUCACCCCA